CCGAAAACACUGAAAAAUGUGGAGAAGGAAAUGGUACAAAACCCUAAGGAGCACAGAAGAAGAUGAUGAAACCGCUGCCACCUCCGCCAACACAAUCCCUUACUUACCUGACAACGUCAUCGAGAAGAUCCUCUCCUUCCUUCCAGUCAGAGACGCCGCUGUGGCAACCGCCGUUUCGAAGCAGUGGAGAUCCCUCUGGCCUUCCUUCCCUGUUAUCGAUAUCGAAGAGAAACGCUUUCGCGAACCUCGAUGUUUCGUCGACUUCUUGCGCUACUCUCUCAGACGAUGCAGGGGUCAGAGGCACUUGGACAAGUUGAGGAUUCGAGCCAACCUCCAAUACGGCUACUUUUUGGUAAGAGAAUGGGUCGAUUUUGCAAUUGAGAGGUGCGUCAAAGAGUUAUAUCUUCAGGAUAAUAAUAAAUUGCAUCAAAACUUGCUGAUUACCCAUGACGUUUAACUCUGCAAUGUUUAACUGGACUGAAUUUGGAGAAUGUGAGAGUAUAUGCAAGUUCCGGAAUUAAUGGCCCUGUGAGCCUUCCCUCAUUGAAAACCAUGUCCCUCAAAGACGUGACAUUUUUGGAUGAUAGGGAUGCCACAGCCAUUGGGGCCAUCCCCAGCUUAUUUUCAGGGUGUCCUUGCAUUGAGCAUUUGUCAAUUCAUAGUUGUAGGCUUGGCCGGUCUACUAUGGACCUUGAAAUUUCAAGUGACAGUCUGAAAUCCUUGGAAAUUGUGCAUUGUCAUUCUAUGAGAGUCCAAGUUACUGCCAAGAAUUUGGAGUCUUUUACAUUCUAUGCGGAUUGUACCUGUCCGUACCAUAGGACUAUGUACUUAUGGGAAUGUGAUGGCUUGAAACAUGUGCACAUCUCUUGCAAGGGAUUGAAAAAGCUUCUAUUGCAUGAAUGCCAACAAAGCAUUGAGAACUCGUUUAUACUCCACAUCUGGAGUCCUUUGAGGUUAGUGGAUAUCUGAAGGCCAAGGUCAAUUUUGCGGAAGCUCCUGCGAAUUUAGUAACCUCUACAAUCAGAGUUUGGGAGACCUUAUGGCCCAUUGAAUAUUAUUCUGCUAUGCGAGAAUUUCUUGGAAGUUUCGAUUGCUCCAAAAAAGUGAAGAUACAUAUUGCAGAGGAUGAGGGUGUCAUAAUACCAGAACAUUGCAGGACAGAAUGGUCUCCUCCAUUACCUAGUAUUAAGCAGCUGCAGCUAUACUUUCCCUCAUUAGGGGAGAGAGAAUAUUCUUUGAGACCUUCAUUGAUUUGGAUGGCACCAUCUGCUGAAAUUCUACCGUUUCUAAUUCACGAGGAUGAUGAUGAAUAUGAUAAUUUUGGUGAUAACGAUUACAAUAUUGUUGAUGAUGAAAAUGACAUUGAUGACGACAACGAGAUUGUUGGAGAUGAUGGAUGACCGCGACGAUGAGUAAAUUUGGAUUAAGGGAGUUUAAGAGUUCAAGUUUCAGUAUUUAACUCUCGGACUCAUCCAUUGCAAAGCACAGCGAAUUGGAAUUCAAGUUGUGAUCUCAGUCUUUUUGUAUUUUGUCUGAAUGGUGUAGUUUCGGCAAUUGCAAAUAUAGUCUUUAACUGUUGGACCUCAUCCAGUGCAAAGCUUAGCAAAUUGAAACUCUUGCUCUGAUCUUAGUGCUCGCAUUCUUGUUGGAUUAGUGUAGUUUCCUUUGCACAAUUUGAAUCAUAUCAUCAGUUCAUCACUCCUUGUCAGAUAGAGAUUUCGGAAGAGUGGGAAGUCUCCUCCCGUGGAAACAAUUUUCUGCUUGCAGAACCAAACAUGGCGCUGAAUAAGAGCAUGGAGCAAUUAUCUUCAAGCUCUUUUAUAUGGUGAAUGGAGAGCAUUGCUGAUUAUCCUAGAUGCUUUUGCCUUAACUUGAGCAUGUUAAACACUAGAAUCCAUCUUUUGCAAUUGUCAGUGAUCUUAUUGCUUUGUUGAUGCAAAUGAUACUUUGUAAACUUAGACAACU